GACGAACGCUGGCGGCGUGCUUAACACAUGCAAGUCGAACGGAAAGGCCCUGCUUUUGUGGGGUGCUCGAGUGGCGAACGGGUGAGUAACACGUGAGUAACCUGCCCUUGACUUUGGGAUAACUUCAGGAAACUGGGGCUAAUACCGGAUAGGAGCUCCUGCUGCAUGGUGGGGGUUGGAAAGUUUCGGCGGUUGGGAUGGACUCGCGGCUUAUCAGCUUGUUGGUGGGGUAGUGGCUUACCAAGGCUUUGACGGGUAGCCGGCCUGAGAGGGUGACCGGCCACAUUGGGACUGAGAUACGGCCCAG
rnacentral:rRNA from 1 species